rnacentral:rRNA from 1 species
ACAGUGAUGGAAAGAUGAAAAGAACUUUGAAAAGAGAGUGAAAAAGUACGUGAAAUUGUUGAAAGGGAAGGGCUUGAGAUCAGACUUGGUAUUUUGCAUGUUGCUCUCUCGGGGGCGGCCGCUGCGGUUUACCGGGCCAGCAUCGGUUUGGAGCGGCAGGAUAAUGGCGGAGGAAUGUGGCACGGCUUCUGCUGUGUGUUAUAGCCUCUGACGAUACUGCCAGCCUAGACCGAGGACUGCGGUUUUUACCUAGGAUGUUGGCAUAAUGAUCUUAAGUCG